GAGUUGUAAUGGCGGGACAAGGAUUUCAAGGUGCACUGAGGGUCAUGCUCCUUGUGUGUCUCCUUGGACUAACAAAAGAGUUUGGUAAGAAGUGCUGUUUUCACAAUACAAGUUUAAAAGUGGGUGUCAUUUAGUGUAGUUUUUGUAUUCCAUAUUUUUAAAGAAUGUGAAAAAUAAAAAUAUUAACUUAUUUCCGUAGAACUUGAGGACAAAGACUGGGACGAGUUGAGGUCUGAUGUGGCUGCGCUGCACAGAUUGAAAGGAUUACCUGAUCAAAUGACACGUAGGACCACAGGAGCAGACACCAGAGAGAUAACAAUGCACGGGACCAGGACAAAGAGAUUCAGCAAUUACAGGUAACAUAUCCACUCAGAGAAGUGACAAAAUGUAUUAUUGCCCAGUACAGACGAUUGAAAGAGGAAUCACAUAACAGCAAAUGAUUUAGGGAGUACUCAUCUAUUGUAUUUCCUCAGGGCAUAUGUGGAGAAAAGGCCCAUGGCUUUAUUUGAUGGUCUUAGGGGAUGUGACAAUUUUACAACAUGUGUCAUUCAAAUGGACCAGGAUCUUGAAAGGUUUCUGGAAGAAAUUGAUGGACAAAAGAUCCAAGAUUUGCUGCUGUCUGCUUCUGAAAUGUCUUACACCUACAGCAACAAACUUCUCCUUAUAAUGGACAAGGAAGAGUGGACUCGUCAGCGAGUAGAAGAGGAGUACAGCAUAGAUCCUCAUUAUUCAGUAAUGGUCAGUGAUGCUUGUGUAUACAAUGAUUCAUGUCUCCCAACCAUUAACAGUGGCACAGUGGUGAAGAUAUUUGGUACUGCCUCAGAGGAUGGACAUACUCUGUCCGGUUACUCUGGUUCUUCACUAGCAAAUCUAAUGUUGAAACGAUCAUUGAGGGCAGCAUCCGUUUUCUCCCUUGACAUCAAUACCACUUCUUCAUUUCAUAAUGACUUCAUGAGGGUUUUUAAGUAUCAUGACAAUAAUGCUGUCUUGGAAACUACCAGCCCGGGAGAUCUUCUCAUCUUUCAAAUCAUGGAUCACACUGACACUGCAGCUGAGUACCAUGCUCCAAAGAGACCCAUUGAUCACACCACACAGUAUGAUAAACAGCACAUCCUAAUACUGGAAGAUAACCCCGUUGUUCGGGAAGCUGCUAAAUUUCUAUAUGAGAAACAUC
rnacentral:lncRNA from 13 species